rnacentral:rRNA from 1 species
CCCUACGGGGGGCAGCAGUGGGGGAUAUUGCACAAUGGGGGGAAGCCUGAACCAGCCAAGUCGCGUGAAGGAAUAAGGCCCUACGGGUCGUAAACCUCUUUUGCCGGGGAGCAAGGGCCGGGACGAGUCCCGGUCCGGAGAGUACCCGGAGAAAAAGCAUCGGCUAACUCCGUGCCAGCAGCCGCGGUAAUACGGAGGAUGCGAGCGUUAUCCGGAUUUAUUGGGUUUAAAGGGUGCGUAGGCGGGCUUUUAAGUCAGCGGUAAAAAUUCGGGGCUCAACCCCGUCCGGCCGUUGAAACUGGGGG